UGGGGAAUAUUGCACAAUUGGCGCAAGCCUGAUGCAGCCAUGCCGCGUGUAUGAAGAAGGCCUUCGGGUUGUAAAGUACUUUCAGCGGGGAGGAAGGGAGUAAAGUUAAUACCUUUGCUCAUUGACGUUACCCGCAGAAGAAGCACCGGCUAACUCCGUGCCAGCAGCCGCGGUAAUACGGAGGGUGCAAGCGUUAAUCGGAAUUACUGGGCGUAAAGCGCACGCAGGCGGUUUGUUAAGUCAGAUGUGAAAUCCCCGGGCUCAACCUGGGAACUGCAUCUGAUACUGGCAAGCUUGAGUCUCGUAGAGGGGGGUAGAAUUCCAGGUGUAGCGGUGAAAUGCGUAGAGAUCUGGAGGAAUACCGGUGGCGAAGGCGGCCCCCUGGACGAAGACUGACGCUCAGGUGCGAAAGCGUGGGGAGCAAACAGG
rnacentral:rRNA from 1 species